CACAUGGCCAGCCCUAAUUUCUUAAUCCAAACCUAAUCACACACAAAUACACAAUCACGCUGCCUACAAUAGAUUUGGUCAUCUGCUGUGCUGCUUGCCGACAACAAAUUGCUGCUCUUCGUCUUCGUCUUCGUCUUCGUCCUCAUCCCCGAUCUCUAGCUUGCUGGCUAUUCCCAUUUCCUUUUGUUUCGCAACUUAAUGGUUGUUGCCGGUAGCCUGCUACCUUCUUCAACUCCGAGCUAUAGCUAAUGCCUUCUUAAUUUAGAUUUUCUUCAAGUUCGAGUUGCUGCUACUGUAUUCUUUUGUGAGAGGUAAGCUGAUGGGUUCUUUCAUUUGUACACUAGGGUUUGGGGUUCUCUGAUCAGAAUAUAUCGGCUGGUCUGGUGAUUGCUCAACCGCCGUCGAUUUUUGAGGUGCCGCCCAGGUUGAGCCCCGCAAUUCUACUUGACUCGCUAAAUUUCAGUUUGUUUUCGCCUACACAGGUAAUUCAAUUUAACUUUGUCUGACCUAAAGUUUCUUCAUUUAUUCAUUAGAUUUUAGCUUGUUUAGGAAAGCUUUCAUUUUUAUUGGGUUUCGCAUUUAAAUUCUAAUAAUCCUUGGGUUUGAAUUUUGAUUUUUUUUUUUUUGGAGGGAUGGAAAAUUUUCUUCAUUGCCUUGAUUUGUUAGCAGUCGGUUGGAAUUUUGAAUUAGAGCUUGCUGAAGCAUUUAUUAUAGAAUUUAUAAAUGUGCCCUGUAAUUGGGAUAAAAACUCUUGACUUAAUUAAUCUGACAGAAGAACAUUUUGAGCAAUGUUGUAAUGUGAUUGUGCAUUGCUGAGAUAAUCUCAUCUUGUUUUGGUAUUCUAACCAAUAAAAAAAAAUUUAAGUGUUGGACUCCCCUUCGGCUUCACAUGGCAAGCCCUAAUUUCUUAAUCCAAACCUAAUCACACACAAAUACACAAUCACGCUGCCUACAAUAGAUUUGGUCAUCUGCUGUGCUGCUUGCCGACAACAAAUUGCUGCUCUUCGUCUUCGUCUUCGUCUUCGUCCUCAUCCCCGAUCUCUAGCUUGCUGGCUAUUCCCAUUUCCUUUUGUUUCGCAACUUAAUGGUUGUUGCCGGUAGCCUGCUACCUUCUUCAACUCCGAGCUAUAGCUAAUGCCUUCUUAAUUUAGAUUUUCUUCAAGUUCGAGUUGCUGCUACUGUAUUCUUUUGUGAGAGGUAAGCUGAUGGGUUCUUUCAUUUGUACACUAGGGUUUGGGGUUCUCUGAUCAGAAUAUAUCGGCUGGUCUGGUGAUUGCUCAACCGCCGUCGAUUUUUGAGGUGCCGCCCAGGUUGAGCCCCGCAAUUCUGCUUGACUCGCUAAAUUUCAGUUUGUUUUCGCCUACACAGGUAAUUCAAUUUAACUUUGUCUGACCUAAAGUUUCUUCAUUUAUUCAUUAGAUUUUAGCUUGUUUAGGAAAGCUUUCAUUUUUAUUGGGUUUCGCAUUUAAAUGCUAAUAAUCCUUGGGUUUGAAUUUUGAUUUUUUUUUUUUUGGAGGGAUGGAAAAUUUUCUUCAUUGCCUUGAUUUGUUAGCAGUCGGUUGGAAUUUUGAAUUAGAGCUUGCUGAAGCAUUUAUUAUAGAAUUUAUAAAUGUGCCCUGUAAUUGGGAUAAAAACUCUUGACUUAAUUAAUCUGACAGAAGAACAUUUUGAGCAAUGUUGUAAUGUGAUUGUGCAUUGCUGAGAUAAUCUCAUCUUGUUUUGGUAUUCUAAGUAUCCAAAUGGACUGGAUAGUAGGCUAUCCAGGUCAAGUUUUAAUGGUAAUUGGGCAUUUUUCUUUCCUGAUUUUAGUUUCAUCUCUUUUUAGAUGAAGCAUAUGGUUAAUGCAAACAAUUAACGAAAGAAAAGCUCUUGGUAUUACUAGUGUUGGAGAUCCAAUUGUCUUCAUGUAAACUGUGAACACUUUUAACUCCCAUAUCUAAGAUAUAGAGAUCUUUAUGUAGCUUUAAGCCAAAUAUGUGAGAAAUUCUCCAAUCUAGUCACAACUUUAUUAGCAACCAAGAAUGAAAGAGUAUUAGCUUCCAGUUAUAAUUUGAUGACCGGAGCUUGAAUGAGUGAGUGAUAACUUGUAUUGUCUAUAUUGCUUUGUAUGUCAUGCCUCACUGGCAUUAUGUUACUUGGGUAUCCAAAUUUUGCGUUUAUCUAUUACUAAUUUCCCUGAUUCAUUGGAUGCAACCUAGGGAGCCUUUAGAAUGAAGCACUAGCAGGCCCUAGCACAGGUCACUGCCCAAGCUGACAAUUGUAGAGAGGGAAAACAGAGACAAAAGGUUGUAAAACACGUUAAAGAGACAAAAGGAUAUAUAUGUAACAAAAAUAUCUAUUAAAAUUAGGUUCAGGGAGUAUUUGGAUGGAUUUUCUUUCUUUUGAUGUAACUGUGACCAAAAAGGGGUUUUAUUUGCAUUGUAAGUGGAGGUGUUAAUAGCAGCACUAUUUUUAUAUUUGACAACAGAAUACACAUUAACACUAUAUAUAGUGGAACCUCGAUAAAUUAAUAACAUUGAUUAAAUAAUAGUUUUCGCCAACUCAGACGUGGGCCCAACUUAGUAAAUUAAUAAUUCAAUAAAUUUAUUAAACAAUAAUUGUUGUAGAAAAGUAAGAAAUCUUAUUUUUCUAUAGGACUCAACUAAACAUAAAUUAAUAAUUAACCAAUUUAGAAUUAAACACAUAUGAUAUGUUUAAGAUUUUCUUUGUUGUACUAGCAUAAUGAUUUAUGCAUUCCAUUGGUUAUUGUUAUUUCUCUACAACUUUUAGAAGAGAAGCCAGUGUUGUAUUCUAUGUGAUAGGUUAAGAGAAACAAGAGAAAAAUUGACUUAAUAUAUUGUCUCAAAAAAGUCUUCUUUGAUGUGUUAUCAUCUAAUUGUGAUGCAACCAUGCAAUCUAGCAAAAGAAUUAUCAAGUCAUUGAUUUACUCAAUUAAAAUCAAACUAGAAUCAUAUUAUACAGCUUGAUAGAAUCUCUAUAUUCUUUAAUUACACUACAACAAAAACAGUGUAUGAUAGCAUCUGAAAAAUGCUACCAAAUUAAAGUGAAUGGUAGCAUUUUGAACAAUGCUAAGUUAGCCGGUGUAACUAAAAGUAUUACACAUUAGUAGCAUUUUUUACAUGCCACAAAUUAUGAUACAUAGCAUUCUGCUGUACCGUACAUCCGCCUUGGCCGUACAGCAGCAUUAAUUGCACUUGGUUUUAUAUUUCUCUUUACUAUGUACUAUGUUGCAAAAUAUUUUGUUUAUACUUAAUCUUUUAUAAUCCAGCAACUCUUAUGAAGACCUAGUCAACUGUCACUGCUACAUAAGCAUUCAGGUUAUACUGCUUUAUCAUCAUUUUUAUUUUCUUCCCUUUUUCUCUUUUACAGCUUGUGAGCUUACUGCUUCAUUAUGUCAAUUGUCGAAUGUGAUUUUCUAUUUUCUCUUGGGUUGUUUAUUCUCAUUUUCCCUUUAGUAUCAAAGCUGAUUAAAUCAAUUAGACACUGAUGAAUUUUAUUAUGAAUUUGAUUAAUUGUAAGUGGGCAAUAUAUUAAUAUGUAUUUUUUGGGCACUCAUUUUAUUGUAACCUAUGUUUCAGGUGAUGUUGGUGGCUUUCGGGAAUUUACUAAGAGUGUUUUUUUUAUGGAUUAAUUGUUUUUCUAGUGAUGUGUUGGUGAUUGGAUAUUGAUAAAGGAUUUAUGAGAUAUUGUAAAGGAUUUGAUUCACCAUAUAUUUUGUGAUGCUAUUUGUUGGAAGUUUCAAGUGAUUGAAAUUUUUAGCGCAUCACACUAUUUGGUAUUUGAUAGUUUUUAUGAAUUUGAAUGUAAUUUUUAUUUCAAUUAAUUCAAGUUUUAAAUGUGGUUUUUGUUGUUUUUA
rnacentral:lncRNA from 1 species